UACGGGGGGGGCAAGCGUUGUUCGGAAUUACUGGGCGUAAAGGGCUCGUAGGUGGCCAACUAAGUCAGACGUGAAAUCCCUCGGCUUAACCGGGGAACGGCGUCUGAUACUGGAUGGCUUGAGUUCGGGAGAGGGAUGCGGAAUUCCAGGUGUAGCGGUGAAAUGCGUAGAUAUCGGGAGGAACACCUAUGGCGAAAGCAGCUGCCUGGGCCUUUACUGACGCUAAGACUCGAAAGCUGGGGGAGCAAACAGG
rnacentral:rRNA from 1 species